ACAAUUACAAUUUCAAUUCUAAAUGUAAAGUUUGAAUCACGCUGACCUAGGUGUUGUCUCUUUUCUAACCCCCACAGCACAGAAGUUUUGCUGCCAGAGCAUUCUUGGAGUUGACAUAGAUUCUGGUUGGCUGUAUAACAAGAUUGGUUCCACAAAAAGGUGUUCAUCUUAUUAGACAUGCGAUAUUUCUAACAUUGGAGUUGGGAGGACAAUUUGUUCUACUUGGUUCAAGUCCAGUGCCACAUAUUCAGGGAGCAACAUCAAUCAGGACCUUCUCAUUCUGAAGAACCUAGAGUGCAGGAGGAUCGUCACGCUGAUCGAGAACAUAACUUAUGGAUCGAAGUUGGUUAUUGAAUCAAAGUUGGAUACGAGCACCACGCA